GAAUCUUAUCAGCUGAAUGAACCUGAGAUAACAGAAAACGUCAUGGACUGAUAAGCAUCUGACCCUACUGCACAUAUGGAAAUAUCCAAGGCCAAGAAGCACAAAAGUAAUAAACUUUUUAAUGUAAACAAUAAAACACCACUAUUUUUGUUUUAAAAAAAAUAUAUAUAACACACUAGAGUGAUGCACAAGCAGUUAAACCAAUAUGUGACUAUAAGAUCUAGUACAUGGUACUCUGCAAACUGCAACAUACAAAAAAAUAAAAUCCAAAAACAUCAUUUGAUGUCACUAAACAUGCAGCUAAGAGACUUAUUCUCUAUGCAUAUUGCAGAGCCUUCGAUACAGUUCUAUUUCAAAAUAUUUUUAGAAGCCAUUGACUUUUAACCAGAUUAUGAAAAAAAAAUGCUUAAAUUAACUGCUGCUAUAAUUACAACAAGGCAUAACAGAAUGUGUUGACUUUUGAUCAAACAUCCAUUCUCCAGUUGUUGAAUUGCUGAGUGGCCCAGUGACAUUGAUCAUUUUAAUCCUCUAAGAGAAAAAAAUGUUAUCAUUAUAAAUUGAUUCUUAUUAAAGGCACAAAUCCUCUAAUUCAUCCAGUAAAUAAUGAGCAAUCAAAAUGAUAUCCUGAAACACCGGUAAAUCAAUUAGAAAGCCCAUAAGGUGAAAAUUCAUUAAAGCUUGACCGGUCCAUGAGCCUAUCCCCUAAACAUGAAAAUAACAAUUCUAGCAAAAGAAACCAAGUAUUCCAUCAUUAGCACUUCCUCCUCCAACCUCAGCAGCUCAGCCAAUAGGUGAGGUUUUAACUUAGAGUUGACAAAGGGUCCCCAAAAUUGAGCAUUAAAGCCAUAAAAAUUUUCCAAACCAUAUAAAAUAGUUUUAGAAAACAUAUGGUACACAUAAAAAGGUCAUAUAUAAGCUUUUUAAGACAUUGUAAAGCUUAAAAUUCAAACGAUUAUACCUCUAAAAAUAACAUAUCCUCAUAAAUAGUCAUUAAUAUGAGAAUAACUUCAAUCAUAUAAGAAUUCGACAAUUUAAUAUUUGUUGUAAACUUUAUAUUUCAAUUCAAAGUAUAAAUUUUGAAAGUCGUAAGUAACAAAUAUAGCAAAAUAUUAACAGUAAUUGCAACAUAUAUUUUUAACAAUAAUACAUGAAACACUAGAUCAUAUCCAUCAUAAUAUAUUUGCAUACACAUAUGAUCACAAUUUGUGGCAAAUUAGUAGUUACAGACAAUCUAAUAGCAUUUAACUAAAUAUUUGUUCACCUAAAACUUGAAACUUGAACGAAAUAAGAAGAGGUUGAAGGACAAAAUGAUCACAAACUGAAAGCAGCAACAGCUUUCCAGUAUGAAAAAAGGAAAUGCAGCAAACAUUCAAAAAGGCAAAAUUGUAACUAUUUAAAAUAAUAGAUUGAUUUUAACAUUUGAAAAUGCAAUUUCAAUGUGAGUUUAUCUGAUUUUGAUUUUGUAUAUAAUUUGAAUCAUUCACAUAUUUUAACUCUCAAAAAAUAAAAUCAUACAAAUAAGCAUGCAAAUUUAAUAACAACUAUAUUAGUUGUAAUCUAAAGCAGACAAAAACCACCCAAUAAUUGCAAAAAAGUAAUGUUGCAAUUGACUGGCUACGCUAUACAUAGUACAUUUUAAAUAGUUUGAACUUUUCAUGACAAACAACAUUCACUUGACAUACGAUGAAACCAAUGGCUCCAAUUGAACAAGAAAGAAGAGAAUGAACCUUGAUACACCUCAGC
rnacentral:misc_RNA from 1 species